rnacentral:rRNA from 1 species
CAGCAGCCGCGGUAAUACCGGCGGCCCGAGUGGCGGUCACUCUUAUUGGGCUUAAAGCGUCCGUAGCCGGGUUGGGAAGUCCUCCGGGAAAUCUGGCCGCUUAAAGGUCAGAAUGCCGGAGGAUACUCCCAGCCUAGGGAGCGGGAGAGGCCGAGGGUAUUCCCGGAGUAGGGGUGGAAUCCUAUAAUCCCGGGAGGACCACCUGUGGCGAAGGCGCUCGGCUGGAACGCGUCCGACGGUGAGGGACGAAGGCCAGGGGAGCAAACCGGAUUAGAUACCCGGGUAGUCCUGGCUGUAAACGAUGCGGACUUUGUGUCGGACAAGCUAUGAGCUUGUCCGGUGCCGGAGGGAAACCGUUAAGUCCGCCGCCUGGGGAGUACGGCCGCAAGGCUGAAACUUAAAGGAAUUGGCGGG